rnacentral:rRNA from 1 species
AAGGCCGGUUUUCGGAUUGGCCGAGUAAAGUGGCGCACGGGUGAGUAACGCGUAGGCAACCUGCCCUUGUAUUUGGGAUAACAGGACGAAAGUUCUGCUAAUACCGGAUGUGUCGUAUAUGCGGAGGCAUAGACGGGAAAGUCGGCCACUCCAUGGAAGCUGACGUACAGGGAUGGGCCUGCGUCCUAUCAGCUAGUUGGUGAGGUAAAGGCUCACCAAGGCGACGACGGGUAGCUGGUCUGAGAGGAUGAUCAGCCACACUGGCACUGGAACACGGGCCAGACUCCUACGGGAGGCAGCAGUGAGGAAUUUUGCGCAAUGGCCGCAAGGCUGACGCAGCAACGCCGCGUGGGUGAAGAAGGCCUUCGGGUCGUAAAGCCCUGUCAGGUGGGAAGAAAGGUUCUUUCAAGAAACGGGAGGGAUUUGACGGUACCACCAGAGGAAGCACCGGCUAACUCCGUGCCAGCAGCCGCGGUAAUACGGAGGGUGCAAGCGUUAUUCGGAAUUAUUGGGCGUAAAGCGCGUGUAGGCGGGGAUACAAGUCUGAUGUGAAAGCCCUGGGCUUAACCUGGGAAGUGCAUUGGAAACUGUAUUUCUUGAGUACUGGAGAGGAAGGGGGAAUUCCCGGUGUAGAG